UCGAACGCGAAAGUAGCAAUACUAGUAGCGUGGCGAAAGGGGUAGUAAUACUUAGGCAAUCUACCUUCGGUUCCGGGACAUGCGGGUGAAAACCCGUGCAAUACUGGACGCCUUUGCGAGGGGGCAUCUCUUUGCAAAGAAAGCUACGGCGACCGAAGAGGAGCUUAAGUCCUAUCAGGUAGUUGGCGAGGUAACGGCUCACCAAGCCUUUGACGGGUAGGGGGUGUGAGAGCACGAUCCCCACCACUGGCACUGAGACACUGGCCAGACACCUACGGGUGGCUGCAGUCGAGAAUCUUCGGCAAUGGGCGCAAGCCUGACCGAGCGACGCCGCGUGGUGGAUGAAGGCCUUCGGGUUGUAAACACCAAUCCCUGGAGAGCAAUUUUGAGCGACCCAGAGGAAGCACGGGCUAAGUUCGUGCCAGCAGCCGCGGUAAGACGAACCGUGCGAACGUUAUUCGGAAUCAUUGGGCUUAAAGGGCGCGUAGGCGGCGGCGUAAGUUGGAAGUGAAAUCCCAUCGGCUCAACCGUGGAAUAGCUUUCAGUACUGCGUCGCUCGAGUGAGAUAGGGGUCCGUGGAACUACCGGUGGAGCGGUGAAAUGUGUUGAUAUCGGUGGGAACGCCAGUGGCGAAAGCGACGGACUGGACCUUUACUGACGCUGAGGCGCGAAAGCUAGGGGAGCAAACGGGAUUAGAUACCCCGGUAGUCCUAGCCUUAAACGUUGGGUACUGGGUAGAAAGGGUUCCGAUAGCCCCUUCUGCCGGAGCGAAAGUGUUAAG
rnacentral:rRNA from 1 species